rnacentral:rRNA from 1 species
GACGAACGCUGGCGGCGUGCUUAACACAUGCAAGUCGAACGGUAAGGCCCCAGCUUGCUGGGGUACACGAGUGGCGAACGGGUGAGUAACACGUGGGUGACCUGCCCCGCACUUCGGGAUAAGCCUGGGAAACUGGGUCUAAUACCGGAUAGGACCGCACCGUGAGGGUGUGGUGGAACGUUUUUCGGUGUGGGAUGGGCCCGCGGCCUAUCAGCUUGUUGGUGGGGUAAUGGCCUACCAAGGCGGCGACGGGUAGCCGGCCUGAGAGGGUGGACGGCCACAUUGGGACUGAGACACGGCCCAGACUCCUACGGGAGGCAGCAGUGGGGAAUAUUGCACAAUGGGCGGAAGCCUGAUGCAGCGACGCCGCGUGGGGGAUGACGGCCUUCGGGUUGUAAACUCCUUUCACCAUCGACGAAGGUUUUCUGACGGUAGAUGGAGAAGAAGCACCGGCUAACUACGUG